rnacentral:rRNA from 1 species
AUUGAACGCUGGCGGCAGGCCUAACACAUGCAAGUCGAACGAGUGGCGGACGGGUGAGUAAUGUCUGGGAAACUGCCUGAUGGAGGGGGAUAACUACUGGAAACGGUAGCUAAUACCGCAUACCAUCAGAUGUGCCCAGAUGGGAUUAGCUUGUUGGUGGGGUAACGGCUAACCAAGGCGACGAUCCCUAGCGGGUCUGAGAGGAUGACCAGCCACACUGGAAAUGAGACACGGUACAGACACCUACGUGAGGCAGAAGUGGGGAAUAUUGCACAAUGGACGCAAGGCUGAUGCAGCCAUGCCGCGUGUAUGAAGAAGGCCUUCGGGUUGUAAAGUACUGUCAGCGGGGAGGCGGUACCAGAAGAAGAAGCACCGGCUAACUCCGUGCCAGCAGCCGCGGUAAUAC